rnacentral:rRNA from 1 species
CCUCUGACGUUAGCGGCGGACGGGUGAGUAACACGUGGAUAACCUACCUAUAAGACUGGGAUAACUUCGGGAAACCGGAGCUAAUACCGGAUAAUAUAUUGAACCGCAUGGUUCAAUAGUGAAAGACGGUUUUGCUGUCACUUAUAGAUGGAUCCGCGCCGCAUUAGCUAGUUGGUAAGGUAACGGCUUACCAAGGCAACGAUGCGUAGCCGACCUGAGAGGGUGAUCGGCCACACUGGAACUGAGACACGGUCCAGACUCCUACGGGAGGCAGCAGUAGGGAAUCUUCCGCAAUGGGCGAAAGCCUGACGGAGCAACGCCGCGUGAGUGAUGAAGGUCUUCGGAUCGUAAAACUCUGUUAUUAGGGAAGAACAAAUGUGUAAGUAACUAUGCACGUCUUGACGGUACCUAAUCAGAAAGCCACGGCUAACUACGUGCCAGCAGCCGCGGUAAUACGUAGGUGGCAAGCGUUAUCCGGAAUUAUUGGGCGUAAAGCGCGCGUAGGCGGUUUUUUAAGUCUGAUGUGAAAGCCCACGGCUCAACCGUGGAGGGUCAUUGGAAACUGGAAAACUUGAGUGCAGAAGAGGAAAGUGGAAUUCCAUGUGUAGCGGUGAAAUGCGCAGAGAUAUGGAGGAACACC